UUGUCUGUUUGUUUUUGUAGGAAGCUUAUUUCUUCUAUUUACCAGAUACCUCAGGAGGCCUAUAACUUACUACAGUUAAUGAAGCAGCUGCCACAUAGCACCUUUUCACAAAACUUUUUGUGAAAAGCUUGUUUUAAGAGGUAUACUAUUGAAGAUGUGUAAUCUUCUUUUUGACAGACACAACAUAAGACAAAAAUUCUUUCACAGAAAUUUGAAUUUUCCACUGUAUGUGGUGAUAAUAUUUUUUUUAAUUAGCUGACUAUCAGAUCUGAAAUUUGUAAACAGGUAUCUUUUUUCUUAUGAAUUUUUUUUCAGACCAUAGUAAUUUUUAUCAUCCCAAUUAUUUUUGUGUCAUGCACACAGCGUCUCAAAGAGGAUUUGUUUGGCAUAAGAUAUAAAAAUUCCCUAAUUUUUAAGAAGAUAAAAGUAAUCCUUUGAGUUACAUUUUUCCUCAUUUUGGUAGAUAUUUUAGUGUUGCUGCACUAUAAAAAUGUGUUCGUAAAGGAAAUUUUGGUAACAAAGAAUUUUACUAAAAUAAUGCUCAAGAAACAUAAACAUGAAUAAACUAAAAAUUCAAAAGACA